CGCCUACCCUAUGCCCCGGAUAGACGAGCUCCUAGACAAAAUGGCCAGAGGCCAGUACCUCACCACAAUAGAUCUGUGCAAGGGGUACUGGCAAAUUCCAUUAGCCAAGGACGCCAUCCACAAGUCGGCAUUUGUCACCUCGUUUGGCCUGUAUCAGUUUAAGGCCAUGCCAUUCGGGAUGAAGAAUGCCCCGGCUAACUUUCAGAGGAUGGUAGAUCGGCUACUGGAUGGGUUUCAGGAGUAUGCCUGCGCCUACUUGGAUGAAAUAGCCAUUUUUAGCUCCUCCUGGCCCUAACACCUGACCCACAUAGGAGCCGUACUAGACCGGAUUAGGGAGGCCGGACUCACCCUAAAGCCCAAUAAGUGCCAUAUAGGAACGCGUAAAAACCUCCCCAAGAUAGUAGUAUGGGCCCCAGAGUGUGAACAGGCCUUCCAACAGCUCAAGACGGCUCUUAUUAAAUCACCUGUACUUUCUGCUCCUGAUCCAACUAAACGCUUUCUCGUCCAUACAGACGCUUCUAUGUUUGGAUUGGGAGCAGUACUGAGCUAAGUCGGAGCAAAUGGCGGUGAGCAACCCGGGGCUUAUCUAAGCCGGAAACUUUUGCCCAGGGAAGUAGAUACACUGCCAAUGAAAAGGAGUGCCUGGCGGUGGUGUGGGCCCUCAAAAAACUGCAACCUUACUUGUAUGGACAACCGUUUACCUUACUCACAGAUCACAACAAAUUUGGGGCACUGCGCGUGCAAUCUAAUGUGCCACCAGAUAGGAGUGGUGUGUUAAGUAGUACUAUUAUCAGUUUAAUCCCUGUUACGUCCCCUAUCCGUUGAUGUGGAGCAAGACGCAGCAGCAGAAGAGGACUCAGCCGAGGAGGUUAUGGAAGAGGAUGGAGUAGGAGGAGUAGAGGAGGUGGCAGCAGGCCUGCCUGCAAGUCAUGGCGGUGUCAC